CUGAGAAUGUGCUGGGUUACACCUGAAACCAGCGCAUCUCUGGUCUCACUCACAGCCCAUGAUGAGUACUACCUGGGUAUCAUUGCUGAUUAUUCAGGGACCAAGGGUUCAUUAGUCAGCAGGUGAUAAAUCCUGCCAGGACUGCAUCCUUCCCUUCAAGGCAGUGCAUUCCUUUCUGGCCCAGAGUGUGUCUUGAAAUGUCUUCUGGGAGUUAGGGUCUGGAACAGGGGCCUCACACCUCUGCCUGGUAUCCUAUACUACUGUGGCUGAGCUGGUAUCCAAGUGUGAGAUGAACCCGGUACCUCAGAUGGAAAUGCUGAAAUCACCUGUCUUCUGUGUCGCUCACGCUGGGAGCUGUAGACCGGAGCUGUUCCUAUUCGGCCAUCUUGGCUCCUCCCGGGUCCUAUUUCUUAAUAGAAGCAGGCUCCUGCUCUGAAACUCUAUUAAUCUGAACCAUUUAUAGCAACAUCAAAAGAGAUGCAAGAAAUCAAAUAAGUAGGCUUGUAGUUGAAUGUCCUGUGAUGAAUGUGAUGUCAAAUCCAGCUGCUCAGAAGUAGGAGUGUCAGAGGUUUUAGGAAGAGUAUCUCGUAGGCUGACUUGAUAUCCAUGAACAGUGAUGAUUGUGCAGGGAUCUUCUUGAAAGAGACCAUCUGCUCUAGAUUGGACAAGUUUCCUAGCUAUGUAACUUCCUACUCUGGUCAUUGGCCUUUUGGGAAAUUCUAACAGCUAUCAAAUAUCCUUUCCUAUGUUUUUUUUUUUUUUUCAGCUAAAAUUAGUUACUGAUGUUCUCGCCUGUUUUAUUAUGGACAACAGUCAUUAUUGGUUGUGUUUAGAAAAUCUCUGAUUAGAGCUCUGCAGAUGGUCCCAAAGUAAGACAGCACAAUGCUAUAUCUCAUUUCUUAAAUGAGGAAUGUAUAAAAACUGGAAACAAAAUAAAAGAAUCCAUUAUUUCCUCUUCUUCUAUAGCAGUAAACAUAAAAUAUACAUUAAUAUCUCAAGAAGUAAUCAUUCCUAUGAAUGGAAGCCUUCAUGUAAUCAAAGAGGGAGUCUAAUUUAAACCUAAUCCCAAAUCACCCCACUUAAUUUUAAAUAAAAUGUGUAAAUGGCAAUAUUUUUAGAAAAAAUGGAAAGAAAUUAAAAAAAUGUGUUUAAAAGCCGUAUGAAUCCUGAAUGGCACUCUUUUCAAGACAUGAAGUAAUUUUAGAUUUGAAUGGCUGCUGUUGCAAGGCAAAAGCCGCUAAGAAAACAACUUAGGGACGAAAAAAAAAAUCCCUUCUUACAAAAGAAGAAGGAGGGAGAGAAAAAGGAGAAGAGUACCUGCAGCAAUUCAACAUAAUUAGGUCUAGACAGUAAUGCAGAACAAAGGUCUUAGAGUCUGAAAAAAAUAAGUGUUGAAAAGAAACAUAGGGAAAGAUGGAGUGAAGUUGCAUGGUUCCAGAGUUGCAAAGUGUGCCAAUUUGUGGUAUUUCUUCUGUUGGAACGGGUGUGUCAAAUGUGAUCUGUAGCUGUAAACAGGUAUCCCGAUAAGGAUGCACCACCUUCCUGCUCUGCAAGGGACCCAGUAUGGACACUCUUUCAGUGGCUGGGUAACUCACGGAGACAAUUAGCUUCCAGAAAUUAAGAUGUACGUACUUAGUAAAUUUCCUCAUACAGAAAUUUCCCACAAGAGUCAGGGCUAAAAGAUGGGCAGACCAUGAGAUUUAGAGAUAAUUUGGAUUAAUCAACAAAUAAGAAUCUGGGCUACAUUUGCCUUGCAUUCUGUAUUUGGAUCAGAUUGUAGAGCUGUGCUAGGAUAUAAGAUGUUUCUGAGAAGACUCCUCCUGUUUUCUGAGUCAAAGGCAGUUCCCUAACAAAAAUCCACCUCAUGUCAUUCAGUUUUCUUAAGGAAUGUUAGGCUUUCAAAAUACAAAUCCAGACAUCUAUGCCUAAAUCCCCUUUUUUUCCCUUGAAAAUCUUGCCGCACCAGCUCCAAAGGUCUAAGAAGAUUUAAGAGGAUGAAGUGUUUGAUUUUUUAAAAAAUGAGUCACCUCUCUUGUCUAUUAAAAUGCAACAACAUUUUUAAAAAGAAAAUUCUAUUCUUCAUGAUUUUAUGUGAUAUUAUAGAGAUUUUAAUUUGCUUUUAAAGUAUUUAAGUAUUUGAUUCCUUAAAACCUCUCUAAAGCUGCAAAAUCGUACAUUAGCAUGGAGAAACAUUUAAAGCAGUUUCAUUUUCAAUUUAUAUUCAUAUAUGCAAGUAUAUCUAAAGUAAAUCUUUCAGCAGGAUUUUGAGCUAUUCUAGCAGUGCGGAGAAAAAACUCUUUCUGAGUUAGUGGAGUUUCUUAUUACAUAGAAAGUAGCAUAUUAUUUCAGUAUUGUGAAUUAGAAAAAAUCCUGGACCCCCCUCAAAAUUAUUCACUAUAGUGAAAUUUAGAAACAUGUGGUUUCAAGAUAGAACCAGCAAUCUUAUGGAGGCAACAAUUGAAAACAAAUAAUUUUAAAAUCCUCUAUUAUUUUAAUCCUCACCAAGAAUAUAUUUAAUAAACUCUUGAUCUAUAUGAGGCUCCAUCUUAGAUACCUUAGAAGAAAUCAAAACGUCAUUAUUUCCACAUCUAGGAAGAAUAUGAAAUGAAAUGGGCGCACAAAUAAAAAUACAUGUUUGAGUGUGGAGUAAGCGAGUUAACAUGUGGUGUCACAAAGAAAGUUUUGCCUGAGGUAGCAGAGGCUUCAUGGAAAUAUCAGCAUUUUAUCUCUGCCAGAAGAUGGUACAUAGAUGAUUGAUAGAUAAGAGAGACCAGCUGUGUGUGUGCAUGGGAGAAAGAGACAGAGAGAUAGAAAGAGAGAGAUAUACAGAAAGGAAGAUUUUGAAAAUGAUGAAAGAUUGGAAAAUACCCUCAAAAUAUUUGAUGUAAUCUGUACAUAAUCCUUUUCAUUCUAUCAGGAUAGAAAAAGGUUUUGGUUUAGAAAAUCUAUGGGUUGAACAUGGAGUAGUAUUCAGAGAGACAAACAGAAACAAUCAGAUUUAUUACAAAUUUACAUAAGUAGUAUUUGAAUAUAUGAAUUUACAAUAAGGAAUAUUUAUUUUGUUCCUCCGAUAGAAACCUUGCAGAAUUAUGAAAGCUAUUCUCCAAUGUGUAGUUAGAGAAUGAUUUCAAAACUAUAUAUACAAACUUAAAUGGCCUAUGUGUUCAAUUAAAAUAAUUGAAUAGUUUGUUCUUUAUCAUUCCAAUUGAUCAAAAUAGAAAAAUAUCUUGCCAGCUGUGGUGGCUAACGCCUGUAAUCCCAACACUUUGGGAGGCCCAGGUGGGCAGAUCACCUGAGGUCAGGAGUUCAAGAGCAGCCUGACCAAAAAAAAAAAUAGAAAAAUAUAAAAAUAUAUUGCAGAGGCCGGGCAUGGUGGCUCAUGCCUGUAAUCCCAGCCCUUUGGGAGCCUGAGGCGGGCGGAUCACGAGGUCAGGAGAUAGAGACAAUCCUGGCUAACAU
rnacentral:lncRNA from 1 species